UACGAAGGGGGCUGGCGUUGUUCGGAAUCACUGGGCGUAAAGGGCGCGUAGGCGGCUUUGUAAGUCGGGGGUGAAAGCCUGUGGCUCAACCACAGAAUUGCCUUCGAUACUGCAUGGCUUGAGACCGGAAGAGGUAAGUGGAACGUGCGAGUGUAGAGGUGAAAUUCGUAGAUAUUCGCAAGAACACCAGUGGCGAAGGCGGCUUACUGGUCCAUAACUGACGCUGAGGUGCGAAAGCGUGGGGAGCAAACAGG
rnacentral:rRNA from 1 species